UGAUCCCGGCCCGGCGGCCGACUAGCCAAUUGCCCGGAGGUAAGCGAGGGCUGGGAAUCGCCUGGAUGCACGUGCGGAGGUUUCCUCUCGCCCAGUCGAGGCCGGAAGUGAUGGAUUGUCAUCCCAAACAGAUGAUUCUGCUCUUAUAUUAAUAAAUACGGAUGUGAGAACCUU